GAUGAACGCUGGCGGCGUGCUUAACACAUGCAAGUCGAACGGGAUCCAAGGGGUGCUUGCCCUUUUUGGUGAGAGUGGCGACCGGGUGAGUAACACGUGAGUAACCUGUCCUUUUCUUUGGGAUAAGCAUUCGAAAGGGUGUUUAAUACCUUAUGUUCUGUCUGCCUCGCAUGGGGUGGGUGGGAAAGGCUUUGGCCGGAUUUGGGUGGGCUCGCGGUCUAUCAGCUUGUUGGUGGGGUGAUGGCUUACCAAGGCUUUGACGGGUAGCCGGCCUGAGAGGGGGGGGGGGAACAUGGGGGUGGAGAUAGGGCCAGGACGCCGGGGGGGGGAAGCGGGGGGGGAUAUGGCAAAAGGGGCGAAAGCCUGAGGCAGCGAGGCCGGGGGGGGGAGGAAGGCUUUGGGGUUUAAAACUUUGUUUGCGCUGAACAAGGGGCACGUUGGGGUGGGGGGGGGGGGGGGGGUGAGGAGGCCGGGAGAACUAGGG
rnacentral:rRNA from 1 species